rnacentral:lncRNA from 1 species
UACUUUCAAUAUUGGAACACAUUGGAGCACAACAAAGUGGCAGGUACUAUAUAAACUAAAAACAACCUAUUAUAUAAACUACUAAACAAACCAAAUCAAUUUUGGUUCAGCCAAAACCAAAACAAUAAAUGUAAUUCUUUAAAAACAUGUAUAUUUCUUUAAAAACAUGUAUAUAAUAAUAAUAAUUAAAGUCAGUUUGCAUAUUCAUUAGGUAAUAUGCGCAAGACAAAAUUAAGGAAAAUGGAGCCAAACCAAAGUUACUUAGUUACAAUUGUGAAAAGUGAAUGUUAAUGUCUAAAAUUGUUAAAAAUGGAGGUCAGAUGAUAAGAUGAUAACGUAAGUUUGGAAUUGAUUAACGAAGAGAUAUAUUACCUUGUUUCAGAGUUCUGUAGAUCGAAAGUACAUCCCUUGGAUAUUAUUUACUUGUGGCCAAUAAGUAGUCAGCCCCAAAAAGAAAAAAAGGAAUGCAAUCAAAUGGAUGUUGUCAAACAACAGAAGAAACACACAGCGAUAAUAUUAUAUGUGGAUGUCGUGCUUGCUUUAGAUUAUAGGCAUAAUAGAUUUCAGC